rnacentral:rRNA from 1 species
UACAGAGGGGGCAAGCGUUAUUCGGAAUUAUUGGGCGUAAAGGGCGCGUAGGCGGCUUUGCAAGUGACGGGUGAAAGCCCUCGGCUUAACCGAGGAACUGCCUGUCAGACUGUAAGGCUUGAGACCGGGAGAGGUGAGUGGAAUUCCCAGUGUAGCGGUGAAAUGCGUAGAUAUUGGGAGGAACACCAGUGGCGAAGGCGGCUCACUGGACCGGAACUGACACUGAGGCGCGAAAGCGUGGGGAGCAAACAGG